AGCAUGGGUUGUAAAUCUACCAUAAAGGUUUUCAACACUCUCCUAAUAGUCCUUGGAAUACGAUACGAUGUAUUUCAGUAGAGAUUUCAUGAUAAUCAGAGAAAUAUAAUUGAUUUGUCUAUAUGACCUUUGAAAGUGAAGUAACAUGAAUGAUCUUCAUGGGACAUGAGUCGAUGAAGGCAAGAAUAGAAAGUUCAAGGUUGUGCUGUGGAAAUUUUAGUUGUUACCUUUUCAUGUUUUUUCUUCUCUAGUUCCAAGGGUUUGGAACCACCUUAUGUAAUGUAAAACACUAAAUAACGAACAAUGAUUUGCCUUUGUCAAGGUGUUUGAUA